CCGAAUUUCGGCCUAUAAAAUCCAGUGAAGGCUGCCGACUUUCUUGCACAUUUUCCACACUCUCUCUAAAUUACUUUCUCUCUCUAGAGUUCCAAACCCCACCUAAGCCCUAGUUAAACCCCUAGAACCCUAAGGAAGCCCCGAGGCUCCCGGAGUCCCGAGAAAAAGGAAUUUUUCGGUUUCGAAACGCUGCUCCAAUUAAGUUUCGGUUUUCGAUAAAAUUCGCUGUAAGUGUGCUACGCUUACGCAAUUUUUUAUAUAGCUUUCAAAUAAUUAUAGGAAUGUUAUUAGGUCCUUAAAAUAAUUAUUUGGGCUAUUAUUAUGAGUUAUAUCGAGUAUUAUUAACGCUUAAUAAUACUCGGACUAAUUAAUUUGUCGCGGUUAUCGUUAAACUAAACCCUAGUGGUAUCGAUACUAGGUUUUAUCGAAGGAAUAUCGUUUUGAGAGUAUCGAAGCGCUGUCCGAGUGCUGAGUCACCACCUAAUCAGGUGAGUGCAUAGUUACUUUCAGCUUACACAUAGAUAUGAAGUAUUUUUUAUAAAUUACGUGCUAUGUGUGCAUAUUAUCUGAAUACUUGCUAUCUAUGCUGGAUGAACAUUGUUAUACAUGUUUUCAAUGAUUUAAACUGUAUAUGUAUUUUAUAUCUACAAAAUGUGUUGGGUAAAACAUGGGUAGAUGUAAUAGUUGCUGUGUGACAAAAUAAAAUAAUGAGAGGCCUCGUUAUAGCUGUUCUUGAUGAUCUAGUCAUCUAGCGGAGUAUAGAUGACGACCACGGACUAUUCUAGACAGUCCAGUGGAACACUAGCAGGCUCGCAACCUGUAGGUGUUUAUUCGAACUGUGUGUUUAUUCGAACUGUGUGAACUGUGUGCUCACCAGGUAUACUCCAUCCCAAUGAUAGUCCUUUGACUAGGUCCCUUGUGUUAGAUGUUUUAGGGACGUAAUGUGAGGAUAACGGGAAUGGGUAAUUGGGUUGAUUGUUUGAUGUUUAAAAAUAAUAAUUAUAUUAUUGUGGGUUGAAAACCCUAUGUGCUCACCAGGUUUCCCAACCUGACCCACUCAGUUUAUUUAUAUCACAGGUGUUGAUAUGAAGUGACAUUACACUGAGAGAUUUAAAGAGAUGUAGAUCACUAGUGUAAAUAAUUGUAAGUUCUGUUUAUGCUUAUGUUUCUGUAUUAACGAUGACAUCCCAAACGUUUUAAAAUGAAAUAAAUACGUUUCUUCGAAAAUGUUUUAAUAACGUAUUUACCAUGUUUUUCUGGGAACAAAUUCCGCAACAUUUUUAUAAAAUGAAGUACUCUGAUUUUUAUAAAGCAUAAACAAAAUCGGUCUUUUCUGGCCGUGAAAAUGGGGAUGUCACAGUUGGUAUCAGAGCAUUAGUUUAAGCGAACUAGGAAUAUGGAUUUAUUUCUAGACUUAAACUUAGAAUGCUAAGCGAUGAUUGUGAGGUGUGAGCACUAGCUUAUUUUAGGAAUUGUGCCUAAAAUGCUUUUAUGUGCUAAAUACUUGUGCCUGAUAUGCUGUUAUUUGUUCGGAUCUAUGGUUUGUUGCCGACCGGAUCUGGAAACCUUAUGUGUUUAGGAUUCUAAACGUACGACUACGAUAUUAGAACUAGCAUAUAAACGUUUCGGAGUGAUAAGGAUGAUUUAAACGUCAAUCCUAAGUAAAGGUCUAGAUUCACCUUAUUCGGCGUAUAGAUCAAGAUGGCAAGAACCCGUAGCGGAAACGUGAAUGCAAAUGGGAACCGAGAUCAACCCCCAGCGAUUGAGCAAAUACCGGUUGUGGUAGCCGCUGCUGAGCCAAUAACGAUGGCAGGAGUGCAAGCGAUGAUCCAAGCAAUGUUGGAUCGUCAAAUGGAGGAAACCAGACGUUUGCUCCAGCAAAAUCGAGAGGAAGCGACUAUUCAGAUCGAACAGCCCAAGUUGAACGAAGGGCAGACUGAGGAAGGAAACUACAGUGGGACUGUUGGUCAAGUCAACCCACCAAUAGUUCGACAAAACAACCAAGAUGACGAAGUCGAGAGGAAUGGAUGCAAGUACAAGGAUUUUCUGACUUGCAAGCCAUCGACUUUCACUGGAAAGGAGGAUCCGAUCGGGGUCAUGGAUUGGAUCUCGGAGAUGGAAUUAGCUUUCAUGACGUGCGGUUGCAAGGGAAAACAACAGACCACGUUUGCAGUGCGUCAGUUUCGAGGAGGCGCUGUACGAUGGUGGAAUACCUUGGGAAAGACGCUGAGCCCCAAUGAGCCCCUGCAACUGACAUGGGCAGAAUUUUUGGUGCAUUUCAAACGUAGGUACUGCUCAGCCCAAAAUCUGCUCGAGCUAGAAAACCAAUUCCUUACCUUAAAGAAAGGAAGCAUGUCUAUUGAUGAAUACACCAACAACUUCACAGAGAAGAUGGAGUUCGCCUUACGUCUUGUUCCGGAUGAGCUGACAAAAAUUGACAAGUACGCAAAAGGACUUCCAUGGGAAUAUGCAGUGCCAGUGCGUCAGGCACCUACUUUGGAGGCAGCUAUCUGGGCUGCCAAGUCGGUUGAGGAGAUGAUCAAGGGAAGAGCCGCCAACAAGACCGAGGUUGGCGAAAAGAGGAAGUUUGAGGGGUCUGCGAAGCCCGAUGAGAGAAGCAAAUCAAGUACCAGGAAGUUUAGAGGAGGAGGGAGUGAAGAAAGAUGGUGCGAGAAGUGCAAAAAGAAACACUCUGGAAAAUGCAGUGAGGAAGUAACUUGUUUCAAGUGUGGGAAGCAUGGGCAUUAUGCCAACGAGUGUAAAUUCAAUAAAAGGGUGUGUUACGAAUGUAAUGAGGAAGGACACUUCAAGCAAGAUUGCCCAAAGAGAGAGGGGGCUACAAAGCCAAAUGUGCCGCCAAAGCCAAAGGCGAGAGCAUUUCAAAUGAUCCUUGACGAAGCAGAUGACAAUGCGAGGAUUCAGGAGUGACAACUUGACAUCCAAAGAUCGAGUUAUGAGGUAGCCAUAGAAUCGUAUGAUGUAGCCUGUUAGAGGCAUAUUCUAGGGUGAACUUGAACACCUAUGUAAUAGUUUCAAGGAAUAAUAAAAACCUUCGUUUUGAUAUCUGAUGUGUUAAGCUGUUAUAUGAUUUUCUUGUGUGGUGACUUGGAAAACUGUGGGACAAUACCUGAGACGAGUAUGAGUAGGUGUGAAUGGUAGUAGAGGCCUAUACUACCGGAAGCACAGGACUCACACUUGGAUCAGGGAAAGUCACAAGGUUACCAAGAAGCUAGUAAUUGAUUUCGUUUUAUUCAAGUGUGUUGUUACCAUCGUUUCGGUAAUGACUAAGAAGAUUGUUGAUAUUCCGACCCUAGUGGUCAUAUCGAAUCGAGUCCGACUACGAUGAGUAUGUUGUGUGGUUCAGAGAACCAAGUUUGAUGUAGCGUCCGACUUAAACCAAACGGUUGAAAUCAAAGCGAUCAAUAGAAGUAUCGCACUCGUUGUUAAAGAAGUUGGUGGCUAGAAAUGCCUAAUGUUAAAGUGUGAUUAUAUCACAUUAGAACAUGAAGGAAGGCAUAGUCUGUUUUAGAAUUUAACUCUAAGAGACCUAAGUCUAAGUGUUGCAACAUACGAUGAUAGGUCAUUAGAAUAUGACACAUCGAUCUAUAGUAGUAAUAAAAGAACUUAUCUCAAGUCCGUAUCCAGCAAGGAUCGAGAUUGUGACUUGAAGGUCAUAAUUUGGAGUCUAACCUGAGGUAGAGAGCAGGUGCACGAUCGAGUACUCUUACAGUCAAUGAGUUUAAGAGAUAGAAUUGAAGGAAUGUAGAAGUUAUAAUUAUUACCUAGGAUGAAGAGAUGACGUAUGGAGUCAUUAUACGACCCUGUUUCGUUGAUGAUUCCGGGACGUAAUCAUCCUAAGGGGGAGAUAAUUGUAACGCCCGCAAAUCUGGGCUAGUCAAAUUAGAGGCAAUAGGGGUCGAAAACGACUUUUCGACAAAAGAUUAUUUAGAAUAAAUAAUCUUAAUCAAGUUGUAGAGUAUGUUACAAGGUUUUCGUACAUAUAAAGAACGCCGAAAACCGAGUUAUAACGAAGAAGUUAUGACCCGUUGAAGUUUCGCGACGGAACCGGCACGAUACCGGGAAGCGUAAAUAGUGAAUUUACGAUAGAGCGAGAUUUAGCCUUAGCGAUCUAAACGAAAGUCGUAGAAUAUGUUAAACUAAGAACAUCGAUAAAAAGAACGCCCAAAUCUGACUUCGUAUGAGGAAGUUAUGAUUUUUCUAAGAUUUAGCAUAGCAGUGCACAGCCCGAAAUCUGAAUUUUAGAUCGGUCGAUUUUUAGCCGACGGGAUCUAAAUGAAAGUUGUAGUACUCGUAAAUACCAACGCGUGGAUAUAAAGAACGUCGAUAAUAGAGCUCGUAUGCAAAAGUUAUGGACGAAGCUUAGUCCCUACUUUUCGAGCGCGGCGAAUUCGAUACAGUUUUGUAAAUACGAGAUAGAAUGAGAAUUAGCCAACGAGGUCUAAAUGAGAGUUGAAGAUCUCAUUAAUAGGAACUCAACGGUAAAAAGACAGACAAAAAUGGAGCUCGUAUGCGAAAGUUAUGGACGAAGCUUAGUCCCUACUUUUCGAGCGCGGCGAAUUUGAUACAGUUUUGUAAAUCCGAGAUAGAAUGAGAAUUAGCCAACGAGGUCUAAAUGAAAGUUGAAGAUCUCAUUAAUAGGAACUCAACAGUAAAAAGACAGACAAAAACGGAGCUCGUAUGCAAAAGUUACGGACGAAGCUUGGAGACUACUUUACUAUACACUUCCUAUAAAUACAAGGGUGAACUCCUCAUAUUUUCUUCACACCAUAAGCCUUUCUUUCUCUCUCUAACUUCUCUCUAGCCUCCCUAAACCCCUCCCAAGUCUACGGAACCUCCCUAGCACGAGAAGAAAGCCCCGGAGCGCCCGACGGCUCCGAGAAGAAAAGCUUUCGGCUUGGAAACGCUGCUCCAGCGAAGCCCGGUUUUUAAUAAAAACUCGCUGUAAGUGAGCUACGCCUAUACUAUAUUUAAUAUAGAUUUUAUUUAAUUAUAGUAACAUUAUUAGGACCUUAAAAUAAUUAUUUGGGCUAUUAUUAUGAGUUAUAUUGAGUGUUAUUUAACGCUUAUAUAAUAGUAAUAAUAGCUAGACUAUUAAUUAGUCGUGGUUAACGUUAAAAACUAAACCCUAGUGGUAUUGAUACUAGGUUUUGUCGAGGAAAAUUGUUUUGAGAUAACGAAGUGCUGUCUGAGUUCGGAAUCACCACCUAAUCAGGUGAGUGCAUGGUCUCUUUCAUCUUACACAUAGAUAUGAAGUAUUUUAAUAUAAAUUACGUGUUAUGUGUGCAUAUUGUCUGAAUACUUGUUGUCUAUGCUGGUGAAAGAUUUUUAUACAUGUUUUAAAUGAUGUAAACUGUAUAAAGUAUUUUAUAUCUACAAAAUAUGUUGGGUAAAACAUGGGUAGAUGAAUGAUGAUGGAUAAAAGCUGAAAUAGAGGAACAUUAGUAGUACGGACCUAGUGCCCUAUAGGUAUACAUUGGCAGCAGUGGACCUAGUACCCUAUAGAUGAGCACUGGCAGCUGCGCCACAACCCGUAGAUGAUUUAGAUCUACGGUAAACGUCCUAGCAGCUGCGCUCUAAGGAUAGUAUCGGCAGUUGCGCCUAAUAGGGAGCCUUAUGACCAUGACAGUAGUGUUUAAAGGUCAAUACCGGCAGAAGCGCCUCAUAGAAAAUGUCCUAAUUCUGGCAGCUGAGCCUAAGUGACAAUAUUAGCAGCUGCGCUUGACCAAUGUGUCAUUGGCAACAAUGGACUUCAUGUUGUUUCCUUAGGAUGAUCCUUAGGAAUGAAUGAAUGAGAAAUAGCUGAUUCUUAGGGUAGAUCCUUAAGAAUAAAGAAGAUAAUGGGGAUGGGUAAUUGGGUUGAUUGUUUGAUUGUUUAAACAUAAUAAUUAUAUUAUUGUGGGUUGAAAACCCUAUGUACUCACCAGGUUUCCCAACCUGACCCACUCAGUUUAUUUAUAUCACAGGUGUUGAUAUGAAGUGACAUUACACUGAGAGAUUUAAAGAGAUGUAGAUCACUAGUGUAAAUAAUUGUAAGUUCUGUUUAUGCUUAUGUUUCUGUAUUAACGAUGACAUCCCAAACGUUUUAAAAUGAAAUAAAUACGUUUCUUCGAAAAUGUUUUAAUAACGUAUUUACCAUGUUUUUCUGGGAACAAAUUCCGCAACAUUUUUAUAAAAUGAAGUACUCUGAUUUUUAUAAAGCAUAAACAACAUCGGUCUUUUCUGGCCGUGAAAAUGGGGAUGUCACAGUUGGUAUCAGAGCAUUAGUUUAAGCGAACUAGGAAUAUGGAUUUAUUUCUAGACUUAAACUUAGAAUGCUAAGCGAUGAUUGUGAGGUGUGAGCACUAGCUUAUUUUAGGAAUUGUGCCUAAAAUGCUUUUAUGUGCUAAAUGCUUGUGCCUGAUAUGCUGUUAUUUGUUCGGAUCUAUGGUUUGUUGCCGACCGGAUCUGGAAACCUUAUGUGUUUAGGAUUCUAAGCGUUUAACUACGAUAUUAGAACUAGCAUAUAAACGUUUCGGAGUGAUAAGAAUGAUUUAAACGUCAAUCCUAAGUAAAGGUCUAGAUUCACCUUAUUCGGCGUAUAGAUCAAGAUGGCAAGAACCCGUAGCGGAAACGUGAAUGCAAAUGGGAACCGAGAUCAACCCCCAGCGAUUGAGCAAAUACCGGUUGUGGUAGCCGCUGCUGAGCCAAUAACGAUGGCAGGAGUGCAAGCGAUGAUCCAAGCAAUGUUGGAUCGUCAAAUGGAGGAAACCAGACGUUUGCUCCAGCAAAAUCGAGAGGAAGCGACUAUUCAGAUCGAACAGCCCAAGUUGAACGAAGGGCAGACUGAGGAAGGAAACUACAGUGGGACUGUUGGUCAAGUCAACCCACCAAUAGUUCGACAAAACAACCAAGAUGACGAAGUCGAGAGGAAUGGAUGCAAGUACAAGGAUUUUCUGACUUGCAAGCCAUCGACUUUCACUGGAAAGGAGGAUCCGAUCGGGGUCAUGGAUUGGAUCUCGGAGAUGGAAUUAGCUUUCAUGACGUGCGGUUGCAAGGGAAAACAACAGACCACGUUUGCAGUGCGUCAGUUUCGAGGAGGUGUUGUACGAUGGUGGAAUACCUUGGGAAAGACGCUGAGCCCCAAUGAGCCCCUGCAACUGACAUGGGUAGAAUUUCUGGUGCAUUUCAAACGUAGGUACUGCUCAGCCCAAAAUCUGCUCGAGCUAGAAAACCAAUUCCUUACCUUAAAGAAAGGAAGCAUGUCUAUUGAUGAAUACACCAACAACUUCACAGAGAAGAUGGAGUUCGCCUUACGUCUUGUUCCGGAUGAGCUGACAAAAAUUGACAAGUACGCAAAAGGACUUCCAUGGGAAUAUGCAGUGCCAGUGCGUCAGGCACCUACUUUGGAGGCAGCUAUCUGGGCUGCCAAGUCGGUUGAGGAGAUGAUCAAGGGAAGAGCCGCCAACAAGACCGAGGUUGGCGAAAAGAGGAAGUUUGAGGGGUCUGCGAAGCCCGAUGAGAGAAGCAAAUCAAGUACCAGGAAGUUUAGAGGAGGAGGGAGUGAAGAAAGAUGGUGCGAGAAGUGCAAAAAGAAACACUCUGGAAAAUGCAGUGAGGAAGUAACUUGUUUCAAGUGUGGGAAGCAUGGGCAUUAUGCCAACGAGUGUAAAUUCAAUAAAAGGGUGUGUUACGAAUGUAAUGAGGAAGGACACUUCAAGCAAGAUUGCCCAAAGAGAGAGGGGGCUACAAAGCCAAAUGUGCCGCCAAAGCCAAAGGCGAGAGCAUUUCAAAUGAUCCUUGACGAAGCAGAUGACAAUGCGAGGAUUCAGGAGUGACAACUUGACAUCCAAAGAUCGAGUUAUGAGGUAGCCAUAGAAUCGUAUGAUGUAGCCUGUUAGAGGCAUAUUCUAGGGUGAACUUGAACACCUAUGUAAUAGUUUCAAGGAAUAAUAAAAACCUUCGUUUUGAUAUCUGAUGUGUUAAGCUGUUAUAUGAUUUUCUUGUGUGGUGACUUGGAAAACUGUGGGACAAUACCUGAGACGAGUAUGAGUAGGUGUGAAUGGUAGUAGAGGCCUAUACUACCGGAAGCACAGGACUCACACUUGGAUCAGGGAAAGUCACAAGGUUACCAAGAAGCUAGUAAUUGAUUUCGUUUUAUUCAAGUGUGUUGUUACCAUCGUUUCGGUAAUGACUAAGAAGAUUGUUGAUAUUCCGACCCUAGUGGUCAUAUCGAAUCGAGUCCGACUACGAUGAGUAUGUUGUGUGGUUCAGAGAACCAAGUUUGAUGUAGCGUCCGACUUAAACCAAACGGUUGAAAUCAAAGCGAUCAAUAGAAGUAUCGCACUCGUUGUUAAAGAAGUUGGUGGCUAGAAAUGCCUAAUGUUAAAGUGUGAUUAUAUCACAUUAGAACAUGAAGGAAGGCAUAGUCUGUUUUAGAAUUUAACUCUAAGAGACCUAAGUCUAAGUGUUGCAACAUACGAUGAUAGGUCAUUAGAAUAUGACACAUCGAUCCAUAGUAGUAAUAAAAGAAAUCAUCUCAAGUUCGUAUCCAAUAAGGAUUGAGAUUGUGACUUGAAGGUCAUAAUUGGGAAUCUAGCCUGAGGUAGAGAACAGGUGCACAAUCGAGUACUCCUACAGCCAAUGAGUUAAGAGAUAGACUUGAAGGAAUGUAGAAGUUAUAAUUAUUACCUAGGAUGAAGAGAUGACGUAUGGAGUCAUUAUACGACCCUGUUUCAUUGAUGAUUCCGGGACGUAAUCAUCCAAAGGGGGAGAUAAUUGUAACGCCCGUAGAUCCGGGCUAGUCAAAUUAGAGGCAAUAGGGGUCGAAAACGACUUUUUGACAAAAGAUUAUUUAGAAUAAAUAAUCUUAACCAAGUUGUAGUAUAUGUCACGAGGUAUCCGUACAUAUAAAGAACGCCGAAAUCCGAGUUAUAACGAAGAAGUUAUGACCCGUCGAAGUUUCGCGACAGAACCGGCACGACACCGGGAAGCAUAAAUAGUGAAUUUACGAUAGAGCGAGAUUUAGCCUUAGCAAUCUAAACAAAAGUCGUAGAAUAUGUUAAACUAAGAACAUCGAUAAAAAGAACACCCAAAUCUGACUUCGUAUGAACAAGUUAUGAUUUUUCGAAGUUUUGGAAUAGCAGUGUACAGCCCGAAAUUCGAAUAUUAGAUUGAGUGAUUUUUAGCCGACACGACCUAAAAGAGAAUCGAAGAUCUUUUUGAGAGUAGCGUAACGAGAAAAAGAUGGGCGAAAACGGAUGUCGGAUGAAGAAGUUAUGAGGAUUUAACGGACCAAUCGUGUCCCGGCCCGUUAAUAAUAUAAAAUAUAAAAUCGAGCCAAAAUUAGCCGAUGGUGUCUAAACGAAAGUUGUAGAGUACAUUCCCACCUUUGCGUGGAUAUAAAGAACGUCAAAAACGGAGUUCGUAUGAGAAAGUUACGAAUUUUUAAAGAUUAAUCUUGAAUUUGUGAAGUCUGAUGCAAAAAAAUGAUGACGUGGCAUGAUCUAGGUCGUUCCUUGUUGCCCACGACGUGGUUUGGAUGGAUGACAGCUGGCUCGCUAUGCAGCGCGUACAAGAAUGGAACGCCCCGCGUUCGGAAUCGCUUGGCUUCGGAAGAUCCACGUAGCCUCGCAGUACGCCCCGCGUCCGAAGAGGUUACGCCCCACGUAGGUCCGAUCUGAUCCAUCCGAUGGGUGCGACACAGCUGGGUCCGAGCUGUUGAUCUUAUCCGAGGAGUACGCCCAGUGUACCCUCGGUACGCCCCGCGUAAGGUCCGAAUUUCGGCCUAUAAAAGCCAGCGAAGGCUGCCGACUUUCUUGCACAUUUUCCACACUCUCUCUAAAUUACUUUCUCUCUCUAGAGUUCCAAACCCCCCCUAAGCCCUAGUUAAACCCCUAGAACCCUAAGGAAGCCCCGAGGCUCCCAAAGUCCCGAGAAAAAGGAAUUUUUCGGUUUCGAAACGCUGCUCCAAUUAAGUUCCGGUUUUCGAUAAAAUUCGCUGUAAGUGUGCUACGCUUAUGCAAUCUUUUAUAUAGCUUUCAAAUAAUUAUAGGAAUGUUAUUAGGUCCUUAAAAUAAUUAUUUGGGCUAUUUUUGAGUGUUAUUAACGCUUAAUAAUAGUCAGACUAAUUAAUUUGUCGCGGUUAUCAUUAAACUAAACCCUAGUGGUAUCGAUACUAGGUUUUAUCGAAGGAAUAUCGUUUUGAGAGUAUCGAAGCGCUGUCCGAGUGCUGAGUCACCACCUAAUCAGGUGAGUGCAUAGUUACUUUCAGCUUACACAUAGAUAUGAAGUAUUUUUAUAUAUUACGUGUUGUGAGUGCAUAGUUACUUUCAGCUUACACAUAGAUAUGAAGUAUUUUAUAUAAAUUACGUGCUGUGUGUGUAUAUUAUCUGUAUACUUGCUAUCUAUGCUGGAUGAACGUUUUAUACAUGUUUUCAAUGAUUUAAACUGUAU
rnacentral:lncRNA from 1 species